AUUGAACGCUGGCGGCAGGCCUAACAUAUGCAAGUCGAACGAGUGGCGGACGGGUGAGUAAUGUCUGGGAAACUGCCUGAUGGAGGGGGAUAACUCCUGGAAACGGUAGCUAAUACCGCAUACCAUCUGAUGUGCCCACAUGGGAUUAGCUAGUAGAUGGUGUAACGGCUCACCUAGGCGACGAUCCCUAGCUGGUCUGAGAGGAUUACCAGACACACGGGACCAUAGACACGGACCAGACUCCUACGUGAGGCAGCAGUGGGGACAAUUGCACAAUGGGCGCAAGCCUGCUGCAGCCAUGCCGCGUGUAUGAAGAAGGCCUUCGGGUUGUAAAGUACUUGCAGCGGGGAGGCGUUACCCGCAGAAGAAGCACCGGCUAACUCCGAGCCAGCAGCCGCGGUAAUAC
rnacentral:rRNA from 1 species